UCCAGGGUAGCCGAGUGGAAAUGGCAUCUGCCCCUUAAGCGGAACAUUGUGGGUUCGAUUCCCAUCCUUGGAC